UACGGCCACAUCACAUGGAAAGACCGUUUCAAGUACGAUCACCGAAGUUAAGCAACGUCGAGCCAGAUUAGUACCUAGAUGGUUGAUCGCUUGGGAAUACCAGCUACUGUAAG